GGCCACUAUUCGCACACACUUCACACUCUCCGCUUUUGAUUGCCAUUGAACAGAGAGAGAGAGAUCUGAAAUAAAGGAUUCACUUGGCAUAUUUAGAAGUAGGGUUUUCGCAUUUUCUACAGAGGUGCUGAGGAAAAGAAGGGAAGAGCUGAAAAGAGGAUUUUCACUACUCACCAUGAACAUCUUCAAGAAGAAAACCUCUCCUAAAGAUGCUCUGAGGGUUAGCAAGAGAGAAAUGGCUGUUGCCACCAGAGGAAUUGAACGCGAAAUUGCAUCUCUUCAAUUAGAGGUAUGUUAUUGUUGCAGUUAUGUUUUGGAGAGAUCUAAUUACUUAGUAAUUCUCGUAAUUUUCCUCCCAUAUGCAAUUCAGGAAAAGAAGUUAGUGGCAGAGAUCAAGCAAACAGCUAAAACAGGAAAUGAGGCAAGUUUAUUUUCUCAUGAACAUUAAGCGUGAUGGAUAUGAACUGUAACCUAAUGGAAAUUAUGAUUUAGGGGAGGAUCUUUUAUUAUUGUCUUGUUAGUUACUGUCAAUCUUGAGCUACCAUUCAUCAUUUUCAGUUGGAAUUACUUUUUUGUAUUCAAGUUAAGUGUUAAUUGGAAGUCCAGCUAUGUAAGGUACUGUAAGGUAUUUAACUUACAUUGUUCAGUAACAAGACUUAUUUGUACUAGGAACAUAAGAAGCUAGAUGUAAGUCUUAUUUCUUAAGGAAUUCCUGCAAAUUCAGGUUAAUUGGUAUAUAUAGCAUCUUACUUUAACUUUGCUGAGAACCUUACUGUGUUCUGACAUUAUUUUGUUACAUGCUAUGAUUAAUUUUUUAAAUGGGUAUUCAUGAGGACAAUUUUUCUUGCACCAUGGGAUUGGGAAGUGAAACAUUUAACUCUUGUCCUUGCAAUUUUAAUUGUCACUGGAGCUAAGACAAUAAAAGGGUGACCUAGGGCAUGAAGCAUCUCACAAUUGUGGGAUCAGGGGAGGGUUGAUGUAUACAGCCUUACUCCUACUUUGUAAAGAGGCUAUAUUUAUGCGGCACGAACUCGUGACUCUAAAUCACAAAUAGAGUAACUUCACACCAAGGCCACCCUCCAACUGUAACUAAGACAAUGGCGUUAUGUAAAUAAACUGCAAUUAUGGUGGAGGUUAAAAUAUAUAUCCUGUACUGUCUGUGCAAAAGCAUUCAUCUAUGAGUCUUAUGAUAUGUAUAAACUUAAACUACUCAUCGAAAGAAACAAGUAAAUAGAGCUAAGCUAAAUAGAAACAUAAUUGAAAGUUUAAUAAUUUUGUUGAAACCUUUUGAACCAAGUUCAUCUGACAUCAAGCAUUAUGAUAACACAUUAAACUUUUUUGCAUCUGCACUGGUUGUUUUCUAAUGAACUAAAGGGAAUACUUAAUAUCACAUAUAACCACAGAUUUAUUGGAAUAUAUUGGUUUGUUAUAAAAUCUAGACAAUCCUGCAAAAAAUAUUGAUGGAGUGUAAACUGAAGUCAAUGUAUUAAUGUUUGCAUAUUUUAUUGGAAAUAUCUGUGUAAUGCUUUUUAAGUGACUUAGUUUUCCAAAAGUCUUAGCUUGGUUAUGAAUUAGUCAACGAAUGCUCAAAACAGCUUCGUCAUCUUUAAUUGAAAUACUUUCGUGCAUGCAUUUUCAUAGGCUGCUACUAGAAUCUUAGCACGUCAACUAGUUCGGCUGCGGCAACAAAUAACAAACUUGCAGGGAAGCCGUGCCCAAAUUAGAGGUGUAGCUACUCACACACAGGCACUAUAUGCCAGCACUUCAAUUUCUACUGGAAUGAAAGGCGCAACUAAGGCUAUGGUGGCAAUGAAUAAGCAAAUGGCUCCUGCAAAACAAGCUAAAGUAAUAAAAGAAUUUCAGAAGCAGUCAGCACAAAUGGACAUGACGAUUGAGAUGAUGUCAGAGUCUAUUGAUGAAACUUUAGACAAAGAUGAGGCGGAAGAAGAAACAGAGGAGCUUACUAAUCAGGUGCUUGAUGAGAUUGGUGUGGACAUUGCAUCUCAGUUAUCUUCAGCUCCAAAGGGUCGGAUUGCAUCAAGGAAUACUUCUAAUGUUGUUAAAAGUGCUGAAUCUCCUGAUGUUGAGGAUCUUGAAAAAAGGUUGGCAUCCCUUCGACGCAUCUAAGCUAGAAAACUAUGAUGUUCUCAGACUCAGACAUGUUCUCAGACUCAGACCUGUUCCAUGUAAAUUUUCUUCUAAAAAUUGUGUUAGUAAGAUUGCUAUCGUUAUAUAUGUCUAUUUAUUUCUUAAAAACUGUAAUAGCGAUAUAUCACGCCCUUGGAGUUGAAGUUUCAGUGGCAUUGUGUCCUUGAAAUAAUCUCUGCAGACUUCACCAAAUUACUUAAAUAGAGCUGAUUUUAUUUUCCCCCGUUUUGUAAUGAAGUAUGUGGGAUUGGAGAAUUUUAGAAUACAAUUAUUGUAUGUAUAACAGUUUUGUUAAUCCACCAAUUUGGUAAGUUGAAAAAUGAAGGUUUUUAAAAUCCUCCAAAACCCCUUCCUCUCCUCGCUGGAGGAAACCUGACUCAGCUAAGCUUAAAUGUCAUGUUGAUGGAGCCUGUUUCAGGGAAGAGCGUAUGUCGGGUUUUGGUGUCGUUUGGCGUUUAGAUGAGGGAGGUUUUGUGUCAGCUUUUUCUGGGAUUUAUCAAGGACUACAGUCGGCAAGGAUGGUGCUGUGCUUAGCUGGUUACUCGAUCAUUAUCCCACCAAUGUUAGAGACAAAAACUGAUUCGCUUGAAGUUGUCCAAGCUGCUCGUUUUAUGUAGAGUUGUUCAUGGAUCGGUUUGGGUGGAUUCAAUGUGUUUUGCCAA
rnacentral:misc_RNA from 1 species